rnacentral:rRNA from 1 species
AGGACGAACGCUGGCAGCGUGCUUAACACAUGCAAGUCGAACGAGGUGCUUCGGCACUUAGUGGCGAACGGGUGAGUAACACGUGAGCAACCUGCCCUUGGCUCUGGGAUAGCCUCCGGAAACGGGGAUUAAUACCGGACAUGACCUUCCCCGGCAUCGGGGUUGGUGGAAAGUUUUUCGGCCAGGGAGGGGCUCGCGGCCUAUCAGCUUGUUGGGGGGGUAACGGCCCACCAAGGCGACGACGGGUAGCC